UUUUGAGACCACCCUAAACGUGCCCAAUCUUGUCUGAUCUCAGAAGCUAAGCAGGGUCGGGCCUGGUUAGUACUUGGAUGGGAGACAAAGUGUUUUUUAAGUCAAAAU
rnacentral:rRNA from 1 species